rnacentral:rRNA from 1 species
UACGAAGGGGGCUAGCGUUGUUCGGAAUUACUGGGCGUAAAGCGCACGUAGGCGGAUACUUAAGUCAGGGGUGAAAUCCCGGGGCUCAACCCCGGAACUGCCUUUGAUACUGGGUAUCUCGAGUCCGGAAGAGGUGAGUGGAAUUCCGAGUGUAGAGGUGAAAUUCGUAGAUAUCGAGAGGAAUACCUGUGGCGAAGGCGGCCAACUGGACGAGUACUGACGCUGAGACACGAAAGCGUGGGGAGCAAACAGG